rnacentral:rRNA from 1 species
CAGCAGCCGCGGUAAUACAGAGGGUGCGAGCGUUAAUCGGAUUUACUGGACGUAAAGCGUGCGUAGGCGGCUUUUUAAGUCGGAUGUGAAAUCCCUGAGCUUAACUUAGGAAUUGCAUUCGAUACUGGGAAGCUAGAGUAUGGGAGAGGAUGGUAGAAUUCCAGGUGUAGCGGUGAAAUGCGUAGAGAUCUGGAGGAAUACCGAUGGCGAAGGCAGCCAUCUGGCCUAAUACUGACGCUGAGGUACGAAAGCAUGGGGAGCAAACAGGAUUAGAUACCCGAGUAGUCCCUGUCUCUUAUAC